UGCCUUGCAGUGGGCAAAGAGACACCUUGUUGGAGAUGUUCUUACACCAGUCAGGGGCAGAGCGGUUGGCAGUCCUUUGUUCAUCUUAGCUUGAUGCCUGACUUGGUGGCCAAAGCUGUCUUAUACCUAGGACUCAUUA